GGGAAUAUAAUUUAAUUAGGUAAAAUGCAUGCUUUGCAUGCAUGAAUUACAGAUUCGAGUUCUGUUAUUUCCA
rnacentral:tRNA from 2 species